GAUGAACGCUGGCGGCGUGCCUAAUACAUGCAAGUCGAGCGAACAGACGAGGAGCUUGCUCCUCUGACGUUAGCGGCGGACGGGUGAGUAACACGUGGAUAACCUACCUAUAAGACUGGGAUAACUUCGGGAAACCGGAGCUAAUACCGGAUAAUAUAUUGAACCGCAUGGUUCAAUAGUGAAAGACGGUUUUGCUGUCACUUAUAGAUGGAUCCGCGCCGCAUUAGCUAGUUGGUAAGGUAACGGCUUACCAAGGCAACGAUGCGUAGCCGACCUGAGAGGGUGAUCGGCCACACUGGAACUGAGACACGGUCCAGACUCCUACGGGAGGCAGCAGUAGGGAAUCUUCUGCAAUGGGCGAAAGCCUGACGGAGCAACGCCGCGUGAGUGAUGAAGGUCUUCGGAUCGUAAAACUCUGUUAUUAGGGAAGAACAAAUGUGUAAGCAACUAUGCACGUCUUGACGGUACCUAAUCAGAAAGCCACGGCUAACUACGUG
rnacentral:rRNA from 1 species